rnacentral:rRNA from 1 species
GUGGGGAAUAUUGCGCAAUGGGCGAAAGCCUGACGCAGCGACGCCGCGUGAAGGAAGAAGGUCUUCGGAUCGUAAACUUCUAUCCUUGGUGAAGAUAAUGACGGUAGCCGAGAAGGAAGCCCCGGCUAACUACGUGCCAGCAGCCGCGGUAAUACGUAGGGGGCAAGCGUUGUCCGGAAUGAUUGGGCGUAAAGGGCGCGUAGGCGGCCUGGUAAGUCUGGAGUGAAAGUCCUGCUUUUAAGGUGGGAAUUGCUUUGGAUACUGUCGGGCUUGAGUGCAGGAGAGGUAAGUGGAAUUUCCGGUGUAGCGGUGAAAUGCGUAGAGAUCGGGAGGAACACCAGUGGCGAAGGCGACUUACUGGACUGUAACUGACGCUGAGGCGCGAAAGUGUGGGGAGCAAACAGGAUUAGAAACCCUAGUAGUCC